rnacentral:rRNA from 1 species
UACGUAGGGGGCAAGCGUUGUCCGGAUUUAUUGGGCGUAAAGAGCGUGUAGGCGGUUUGGUAGGUCCGCUGUGAAAACUCGAGCUCAACCUCGAGACGCCGGUGGAAACCAUCAGACUAGAGUCCGGAAGAGGAGAGUGGAAUUCCUGGUGGUAGCGGUGAAAUGCGCAGAUAUCAGGAAGAACACCCGUGGCUAAGGCGGCUCUCUAGUACGGUACUGACGCUGAGACGCGAAAGCGUGGGGAGCGAACAGG